rnacentral:rRNA from 1 species
UACGGGGGGGGCAAGCGUUGUUCGGAAUUACUGGGCGUAAAGGGCUCGUAGGCGGCCAACUAAGUCAGACGUGAAAUCCCUCGGCUUAACCGGGGAACUGCGUCUGAUACUGGAUGGCUUGAAUCCGGGAGAGGGAUGCGGAAUUCCAGGUGUAGCGGUGAAAUUCGUAGAUAUCGGGAGGAACACCGGUGGCGAAGGCGGCGACCUGGGUCGAGACUGACGCUGAAGCGCGAAAGCGUGGGGAGCAAACAGG